UACGGAGGGUGCAAGCGUUAUCCGGAUUCACUGGGUUUAAAGGGUGCGUAGGUGGGCCGGUAAGUCAGUGGUGAAAUCUCCGGGCUUAACCCGGAAACUGCCGUUGAUACUAUCUGUCUUGAAUAUAGUGGAGGUGAGCGGAAUAUGUCAUGUAGCGGUGAAAUGCUUAGAUAUGACAUAGAACAUCGAUUGCGAAGGCAGCUCGCUACGCUAUUAUUGACACUGAGGCACGAAAGCGUGGGGAUCAAACAGG
rnacentral:rRNA from 1 species